GAUGAACGCUGGCGGCGCGCCUAACACAUGCAAGUCGAACGGUUAAAGCACCUUUUAGGUGUGUAUAAAGUGGCGAACGGCUGAGUAACACGUGGGCAACCUGCCCUCCUCUUGGGGAUAGCCUCGGGAAACCGAGGAUAAUACCCGAUACUUCAAUGUGGCCGCAUGGCGACAUUGAGAAAGCUUUUGCGGAGAAGGAUGGGCCCGCGGCCUGUUAGCUUGUUGGUGGGGUAGAGGCCUACCAAGGCAAUGAUGGGUAGCUGGGUUGAGAGACCGACCAGCCAGAUUGGGACUGAGACACGGCCCAGACUCCUACGGGAGGCAGCAGUGGGGAAUCUUGCACAAUGGGCGAAAGCCUGAUGCAGCGACGCCGCGUGCGGGACGAAGGGCCUUCGGGUUGUA
rnacentral:rRNA from 2 species